rnacentral:rRNA from 1 species
UUUGAUGUUCUAACGUGGAUCCGUAAUCCGGGUUGCGGACAGUGUCUGGUGGGUAGUUUGACUGGGGCGGUCUCCUCCUAAAGAGUAACGGAGGAGCACGAAGGUUGGCUAAUCCUGGUCGGACAUCAGGAGGUUAGUGCAAUGGCAUAAGCCAGCUUGACUGCGAGCGUGACGGCGCGAGCAGGUGCGAAAGCAGGUCAUAGUGAUCCGGUGGUUCUGAAUGGAAGGGCCAUCGCUCAACGGAUAAAAGGUACUCCGGGGAUAACAGGCUGAUACCGCCCAAGAGUUCAUAUCGACGGCGGUGUUUGGCACCUCGAUGUCGGCUCAUCACAUCCUGGGGCUGAAGUAGGUCCCAAGGGUAUGGCUGUUCGCCAUUUAAAGUGGUACGCGAGCUGGGUUUAGAACGUCGUGAGACAGUUCGGUCCCUAUCUGCCGUGGGCGCUGGAGAACUGAGGGGGGCUGCUCCUAGUACGAGAGGACCGGAGUGGACGCAUCACUGGUGUUCGGGUUGUCAUGCCAAUGGCACUGCCCGGUAGCUAAAUGCGGAAGAGAUAAGUGCUGAAAGCAUCUAAGCACGAAACUUGCCCCGA